UCGAUAGAAUCAUAUCUAGACUUACUGAUUCUAAAUUUAUUUUCCUUAAGAGGUUUCAAUCCGCGUUCCUCUUGUGUCCUACAGUCCACUGACGAAGAUAUGACGCUCCAUCGACAAUCAACAUCGCUUAUGUAACCGCGAUAAAACGGACUGGCUGCAGUUAAAGCCAACUGUCGAAUGUUAAAGAAAUGUUCUGUAACGUAUGCAUGAAAAAAACACUCUGACAGUAUGUUAUUGUUAUAUAAAAAAAAUAAAAAAAUUGUUAAUAAUAUUAUUUAACACUAACCAUGAUUGGACAUAAAGGUGUCAGUUGAUCAUAUAAUGUUCUUGCUUCUUGUAUGUUGCAUGCUUGAAAAGUGAGUUGUAAACAACAACAUCCCAUCCCAAAACCCAUUGCAUCCAUGUAGAUGUGAUUAUCUUUAGAUGCCUUAGAGGAGGAUCCAUCAUCUCCUUUGUUGUUAAUGUCUUGAAACGUGGAUGACCAGGAUAUAUAGCUUCAUCAGGAAAAAAUAAGCUCUUGGAGGCACCAGUAUUGAAUGUUGGAUAAGUAGGAGGAUCAGUAAAGUCAGGAGCUCCUAUUCUGUAAUAGAAAUAAUAAAAUGUAUAAAAUGUCAAAA